rnacentral:rRNA from 1 species
UACGUAGGCAGCGAGCGUUGUUCGGAAUUACUGGGCGUAAAGAGUGUGUAGGCGGUGCUCUAAGUUCGGUGUGAAAUCUCCUGGCUCAACUGGGAGGGUGCGCCGGAAACUGGAGUGCUUGAGCGUGGGAGAGGAAAGCGGAAUUCCUGGUGUAGCGGUGAAAUGCGUAGAUAUCAGGAGGAACACCAAUUGCGAAGGCAGCUCGCUGGGACGUUACUGACGCUGAGACGCGAAAGCGUGGGGAGCAAACAGG